AGCUUUUCAUCGUCUUUUCCGAUUGCCUCUCCAGUGUCCGGCGCUGCGAAAGGGCUACCUCUUAAUGAGGCUUACUGUUGCUGAGGUUCUCAGCUUUCUUCUUCGAUUUGGCAUCAGGGUCCGAGUUUCUUCAGGCGUGUGAGUGAUGGUCGCCGGAGCUUGACGGCAUGGAGGCAAGUGGUGCUGCAUCUUUCCAUUCUGAUCCAACUUGCGUGACGACGAAAGUAGAUUUUUGGAGGGUUGUUGAGGUCUCUUUGCGUUUACGUCAGUUCUGAGAGCUUCCUUGGAGCUUGGUUCUCUUGCUGCUCUCAAUCCGGAGGUGACAAGAAUAGCGAUGGCGGUUUCUUCCAAAAAGUUCGAGAGAGUCGAGAUGCACCACCCAAUAAACUUGAGGCAUGAUAAGAUUGAAGUCACAAAGGUUUGAACUUGAAACCAAUACCGUGACCAAACUCACGCCAAAU